GCUACUCUUCUUCGGAUUCACUUGAGUCGUCCCAUGUUGCUUUGAGAGUCUUCUUCUUUGGUGUCCUCUUCUUGGCUUGGAGACAUUCGCUCUUAUAGUGUCCUGGCUUCUUGCAUUCGUAGCAUAUUGCAUGAUUUUUCUUGGGUUCAAAUUUAUUUUUAGUGUCAUUUUUAAAUUUAUUCCUUCUUAUGAAUUUUUUGAAUUUUCUUGUUGAGAGUACCAAGUCUUCAUCAAGGUCCUCAUCACUUGAGUUUUCUUUCAAGUGAUCUUCUUG
rnacentral:lncRNA from 1 species